rnacentral:rRNA from 1 species
UACGUAGGGUGCGAGCGUUAAUCGGAAUUACUGGGCGUAAAGUGUGCGCAGGCGGCCAUGCAAGUCGAGUGUGAAAGCCCCGGGCUUAACUUGGGAAUUGCGCUCGAAACUACGUGGCUGGAGUGUGGCAGAGGAAGGUGGAAUUCCACGUGUAGCGGUGAAAUGCGCAGAUAUCAGGAGGAACACCGGUGGCGAAGGCGGGUCUCUGGGCAGUAACUGACGCUGAGGAGCGAAAGCGUGGGGAGCGAACAGG